AGUGAACGCUGGCGGCGUGCCUAAUACAUGCAAGUCGAACGGAGUGGCGCACGGGUGAGUAAUGUAUAGCUAAUCUGCCCUACACUAGAGGACAACAGUUGGAAACGACUGCUAAUACUCUAUAGUGUAGGAUGCGGGUAUAUUGUAUCAGCUAGUUGGUGAGGUAAUGGCUCACCAAGGCUAUGACGCAUAACUGGUCUGAGAGGAUGAUCAGUCACACUGGAACGGAGACACGGUCGAGACUCCUACGGGAGGGAGCAGUAGGGAAUACUGGUCAAGGGGGGAAGCCCUGAAGCAGCAACGGCGCGUGGAGGAUGACAAUUUUCGGAGAGUAAACUCCUUUUGUUAGGGAAGCGGUACCUACCGAAUAAGCACCGGCUAACUCCGUGCCAGCAGCCGCGGUAAUUC
rnacentral:rRNA from 1 species